UUAUCUUCUUUCUCUAGCAUUCCAAUUCCAUUCGACCCUCUCACCCUCUUCACCCCAUUUUUUUUUUCAGAUCCCACGCUGCCAGAUCGAAGAAGAAAGUCGUUGCCUCUCUUAAGAUUUGCAACUGCUCCUCAUCCGCCAGAAGAUGAAAGUGACCGACGGGUGGGAUCUUCAAUGGCUGACAAACAAUUCAUGCGUGGUCCUACUGAAAAAAUGGCGGCUUCGUACUGCGACAGCGGCAGCCGUGUCUACAGCAGGGAAGAAGGCGCUCAGCGGUGGUGAUCGGUUGGCGGCUAAGCCGAUGAUGAUGGCUGAGCGAUAGUUCUGGUGACUACGGGCUACGGCGGAGAUUGAGGCUGCGGUGACGUUGGCUGCUGCGGAGGUCUAGGCCUGUUGCUGCUGCCUGGAGUUGAGGUUACAGUGACAAUGGAUGUAUGGAUGUUCCAAGUAGAAUUACAUGCCCGUAUUGGUGAUUGAUUUGUUCCCAUAAAUUCCUGAUUUUUGUUUAAAAAAUUUCCUUUUUUUUUGUUCUUAUCCUCUUCAAGAGUAAAAGAUACAAAUGGAUAAAACAAGAACUUCCAACUU